AAGCCGGGCGGGGAAGUUCGGGAAAGCUUGAGUGACAGCAGGGCGGCCGGCCGGCCGGGAACGCGCCUCGAACCCUUCUCAGUUGAGAGUGCUGUCGCUGGGCGGGUUUCGACCCCAGUUCCUUUCCCAGUCCUUCGGCUCUGGCUCUGGCUACCUGACAGAGGUGGGGUGACAUUUGUCCUUUACACACUGCUGGCUUCAUCUUUGGGGCUGCACCCCGAGGCAACAAAUUCACGUUACUGUCACCCACAUGUCCACCACCAUCUGGUUGCCUUUUGGCUACUUUGACUUUCUCCUUAAAUGCUCCCUCUGCUGAGCAAACACCACACCAGCAGGGCAGUAGAGAGUACAUGGCCACUCUUCCCAGUAUCAGCAAGCAAUUUGGGUGCUCGUUUGGAAGCCUCAGAGGAAAGAUGUCAGGCUUCCUGUGGCUUUGUGCUUCAGCAGUGGGGCUCGGCUUGCUUUCAGCUGCCGUAGGAAGAUUUCUGGCUUCCGAGCUCUGACAUGGGGAGAAGAUAAGGGCUGGGAUCUUUGGGUCUGCCCCUAGCUGGAUAUCUAUGCCUGGUGUGCGGGCCUUGGAGUUUUUGAUAAUGACUCACUUCUGCCCUUUUUGGGAUCUGCCUCCCACAUAACCCCGUGGGGUCUCUGAAUGGCUGUUUUGGAGUACCCAUGUGGGCUCCCUGAAUCACAACAGGCGAUGUUUAAUAAGGAGGCUAAUACAGAGGUUGGGGAUGUGCUGUCACACCAGCAGGACGCUGCUGGAAGGAGCAGGCUUCUUUCGUUCUUGAUGUGCAAAUAACUCAUAUAGGCUAAUCAACAGGCUAUGAGUUCAAAAGGUUACCGUUGGCCCCUGAGAAUUCCAGCCUUCCUCUGUAACUUGGAGAUGUUUAUUUCUGCUGCAGACUCAGAGAGUUGGGGUGAAGAGUGGUGGGGCUGAGUUGAGAAGCUGAUCCCUUUGCUGGGUGGGAGGUUUCUAAUUGCCACGUUCUUUUGGAUAUCCUUAAGUCCAGCUUCCAGGUGGGGGCAGCGAUAGAACCAAGUUCUCCCAGCAGUCUCUGGGGAAGCCACUUGAGGGAAGCUGCCAGUCAUCACAUGCACCCAUUGGUCUUCUCCAGCAGGCCCUGGUUCGGGGGUGAUCAAAGCUGGUUUUGCAGGAGACCAGAUUCCCAAAUACUGUUUCCCAAACUAUGUCGGGCGGCCCAAGCACAUGCGGGUGAUGGCCGGAGCCUUGGAGGGGGACCUCUUCAUUGGACCAAAAGCAGAGGAGCACCGGGGGCUGCUGACCAUCCGCUACCCCAUGGAGCACGGCGUGGUACGAGACUGGAACGACAUGGAGCGCAUCUGGCAGUACGUCUACUCCAAGGACCAACUGCAGACCUUCUCGGAGGAGCAUCCUGUGCUCCUCACGGAGGCCCCGCUCAACCCCAGUAAGAACCGGGAGAAGGCAGCGGAGGUGUUCUUUGAGACCUUCAAUGUGCCAGCCCUGUUUAUCUCCAUACAGGCUGUGCUUAGUCUGUACGCAACGGGACGCACGACAGGAGUGGUUCUAGAUUCGGGGGACGGGGUCACUCACGCUGUGCCUAUCUAUGAGGGCUUUGCCAUGCCACACUCCAUCAUGCGGGUGGACAUUGCCGGCCGUGACGUUUCCCGCUUCCUCCGACUGCUGCUGCGCAAGGAAGGGGUUGACUUCCACACCUCAGCAGAGUUUGAGGUUGUCCGGACCAUCAAAGAGCGAGCCUGCUACCUGUCCAUCAACCCACAGAAGGACGAGGCUCUGGAGACGGAGAAGGUGCAGUACACCUUGCCAGACGGCAGCACACUCGACGUUGGGCCUGCAAGAUUCCGGGCCCCUGAGCUGCUCUUCCAGCCAGACCUUGUGGGGGAUGAGAGUGAGGGGCUCCACGAGGUGCUGGCCUUCGCUAUCCACAAGUCUGACAUGGACCUGCGCCGGACACUGUUCGCCAACAUUGUGCUUUCAGGUGGCUCAACGCUUUUCAAAGGCUUCGGAGACCGAUUACUCAGUGAAGUGAAGAAGCUUGCCCCAAAGGACGUCAAAAUCAAGAUCUCGGCCCCGCAGGAACGGCUGUACUCCACGUGGAUUGGGUCCACAGCAAUGCUUACCCUCCAUCCCCACAGUGGCUCCAUCCUGGCCUCGCUGGACACUUUUAAGAAGAUGUGGGUGUCCAAAAAGGAAUAUGAAGAGGAUGGCUCCCGUGCCAUUCAUCGCAAAACCUUCUAGUGCCCAAGGAGAGUGGGCAUAUUGGGAGACAGGGAGGGAGGGGAGUCAGAGCCUUUAACCCUUUUUGGUCCGGGCUCAUCUACUAGGCUUAGGGUCCCCUGCAUGCCCUGAACCCCUGGGCAGGCGGGCACAGCAGUGUCCCCCUGCAGCCUUCCCCUCUACACACACACACACACACACGUGCGUGUGGCAUGUUCACAUGCACAUGCACACACACAACAUUGAGCUACAUUGAGCUACACGGACAGGAGCCUUGAGCUGGCACAUAGGAAUUGAGUACCAUGUCGGGCUGUUCUGGGUAUCCCCCUGGCAGGGCCAGCUAGGCCUGUGGUUCCCUGCUCUGACACUCAGGGCUGCCUCCCUGAGCUCCCAGGGCCGGAAUCCCUGGAUGCCUGUGUAACCAGCUUUGGGGACUGGGUUGGAGAGGGCAGCCAUCAGCUCCCACUGGUGUGUCAGUGCAUCCAUUGCUACCUCCUGUUCAUGACCCAACAGGACAGCCCAGCUGCUUUCACCCUCUGUUCUCCCAUCUUCCUGGGUAGAUGCCCUGGUGUAGGGCUGAGUACUGAGUGGUCUUCCAUCCCCAACAAGUGGAUGCAGCCCAGAGUCAGGCCCUGCGGAGCCAGGGCAGAGGACGCACGGUGCCUGGAGCUGCUGCGUGUUCCCCUUCAGAGCACUUCAUCGACUUGCUUCUCCCUCUCCUUUACCCUUGGGCAGGAAAGGGUUAAUGCUUGUCAUUUAUUAAAGGGAAGCCACUCAAUAAGGAGUCAGACCUAAAAGGGGGUGGGGGACAUUUUCUUCUCUCACCUCUCCAAAGAAAGAGGUUAUCACUUUUGCCGUGGCCAGGGGCCCACCUCCUUCUCUCAGAUAUGUACGAUAAUUUAACACAGUUGCCUGAAAAAAAAAACUUUUGUAAAUCAUUAUAGUAAUAAUUAUGGACAAGGCCCAGUGUGUG